rnacentral:rRNA from 1 species
GCAAGGAAUUUUGCGCAAUGGGCGAAAGCCUGACGCAGCAACGCCGCGUGGGUGAAGAAGGCCUUCGGGUCGUAAAGCCCUUUUGUCAGGGAAGAAGUUCUGACGGUACCUGGCGAAUAAGCCUCGGCUAACUACGUGCCAGCAGCCGCGGUAAUACGUAGGAGGCGAGCGUUAUCCGGAUUUAUUGGGCGUAAAGAGCGCGUAGGCGGCCUAUUAAGUCGGUUGUGAAAUCUCCUGGCUCAACUGGGAGGGGUCAGCCGAAACUAGUAGGCUUGAGGGCAGCAGAGGGAGGUGGAAUUCCCGGUGUAGUGGUGAAAUGCGUAGAUAUCGGGAGGAACACCAGUGGCGAAGGCGACCUCCUGGGCUGUUCCUGACGCUGAGGCGCGAAAGCGUGGGGAGCAAACAGGAUUAGAAACCCCUGUAGUCC